GGUGGCUCAGUGGUAGAGUGCUUGCCUUGCAAGCAUAAGACCCUGGGUUCAAUUCCUGAGCACCA
rfam:Dipodomys ordii contig_29461, whole genome shotgun sequence.